rnacentral:rRNA from 1 species
UACGGAGGGUGCAAGCGUUAUCCGGAAUCAUUGGGUUUAAAGGGUCCGUAGGCGGUUUGGUAAGUCAGUGGUGAAAGCCCAUCGCUCAACGGUGGAACGGCCAUUGAUACUGCCAGACUUGAAUUAUUAGGAAGUAACUAGAAUAUGUAGUGUAGCGGUGAAAUGCUUAGAGAUUACAUGGAAUACCAAUUGCGAAGGCAGGUUACUACUAAUGGAUUGACGCUGAUGGACGAAAAGCGUGGGUAGCGAACAGG